AUUGAACGCUGGCGGCAGGCCUAACACAUGCAAGUCGAACGGUAACAGGAAGAAGCUUGCUUCUUUGCUGACGAGUGGCGGCCGGGUGAGUAAUGUCUGGGAAACUGCCUGAUGGAGGGGGAUAACUACUGGAAACGGUAGCUAAUACCGCAUAACGUCGCAAGACCAAAGAGGGGGACCUUCGGGCCUCUUGCCAUCGGAUGUGCCCAGAUGGGAUUAGCUAGUAGGUGGGGUAACGGCUCACCUAGGCGACGAUCCCUAGCUGGUCUGAGAGGAUGACCAGCCACACUGGAACUGAGACACGGUCCAGACUCCUACGGGAGGCAGCAGUGGGGAAUAUUGCACAAUGGGCGCAAGCCUGAUGCAGCCAUGCCGCGUGUAUGAAGAAGGCCUUCGGGUUGUAGAGUACUUUCAGCGGGGAGGAAGGGAGUAAAGUUAAUACCCUUGCUCAUUGACGUUACCCGCAGAAGAAGCACCGGCUAACUCCGUG
rnacentral:rRNA from 1 species